rnacentral:rRNA from 1 species
UCCUAUAAUGCAAGUCGAACGCUUUGUGCUUAAUUGAUAUGACGAGCUUGCUCUGAUUUGAUUUUUUGAUUUCAAAGAGUGGCGAACGGGUGAGUAACACGUGGGUAACCUACCUCUUAGCAGGGGAUAACAUUUGGAAACAAGUGCUAAUACCGUAUAAUACCAACAACCGCAUGGUUGUUGGUUGAAAGAUGGUUCUGCUAUCACUAAGAGAUGGACCCGCGGUGCAUUAGCUAGUUGGUAAGGUAAUGGCUUACCAAGGCAAUGAUGCAUAGCCGAGUUGAGAGACUGAUCGGCCACAAUGGGACUGAGACACGGCCCAUACUCCUACGGGAGGCAGCAGUAGGGAAUCUUCCACAAUGGGCGCAAGCCUGAUGGAGCAACGCCGCGUGUGUGAUGAAGGGUUUCGGCUCGUAAAACACUGUUAUAAGAGAAGAACGGCACUGAGAGUAACUGUUCAGUGUGUGACGGUAUCUUACCAGAAAGGAACGGCUAAAUACGUGCCAGCAGCCGCGGUAAUACGUAUGUUCCAAGCGUUAUCCGGAUUUAUUGGGCGUAAAGCGAGCGCAGACGGUUAUUUAAGUCUGAAGUGAAAGCCCUCAGCUCAACUGAGGAAUUGCUUUGGAAACUGGAUGACUUGAGUGCAGUAGAGGAAAGUGGAACUCCAUGUGUAGCGGUGAAAUGCGUAGAUAUAUGGAAGAACACCAGUGGCGAAGGCGGCUUUCUGGACUGUAACUGACGUUGAGGCUCGAAAGUGUGGGUAGCAAACAGGAUUAGAUACCCUGGUAGUCCACACCGUAAACGAUGAGUGCUAGAUGUUCGAGGGUUUCCGCCCUUGAGUGUCGCAGCUAACGCAUUAAGCACUCCGCCUGGGGAGUACGACCGCAAGGUUGAAACUCAAAGGAAUUGACGGGGACCCGCACAAGCGGUGGAGCAUGUGGUUUAAUUCGAAGCAACGCGAAGAACCUUACCAGGUCUUGACAUCCCUUGACAACGCUAGAAAUAGCGCGUUCCCUUCGGGGACAAGGUGACAGGUGGUGCAUGGUUGUCGUCAGCUCGUGUCGUGAGAUGUUGGGUUAAGUCCCGCAACGAGCGCAACCCUUAUUAUUAGUUGCCAGCAUUCAGUUGGGCACUCUAGUGAAACUGCCGUGAAAAACCGGAGGAAG